GUCUACAGCCACACUACUGUGAACAAGCCCGAUCUCAUCUGAUCUCGGAAGCUAAGCAGGGUUGAACUUGGUUAGUACUUGAAUGGGAGACCACUUAGGAAGACCAGGUGCUGUAGGCG
rnacentral:rRNA from 1 species